rnacentral:lncRNA from 1 species
AUGAUAAUGGUGGCGAUUAUGACAGAGAUAUUAGAAGAGUACGCAGCUGUGCUGACAAGAGCAACAGAACGCUUCCUGUCACGAAAAGGUAUGAGUUUUGAAGAUCUAACCAGUAGGAAUUUUCGUUUUGGUUCUUCAACCUCUUCUUCAGAUUCUACUUCUUUUCUUGUUUACUUUUGA